rnacentral:rRNA from 1 species
UGGGGAAUAUUGGGCAAUGGGCGAAAGCCUGACCCAGCAACGCCGCGUGAGUGAUGAAGGCCUUCGGGUUGUAAAACUCUUUGGACAGGGACGAAGAAAGUGACGGUACCUGUAGAACAAGCCACGGCUAACUACGUGCCAGCAGCCGCGGUAAUACGUAGGUGGCGAGCGUUAUCCGGAUUUACUGGGCGUAAAGGGCGUGUAGGCGGCUAGAUAAGUGUGAUGUUUAAAUCCAAGGCUUAACCUUGGGGUUCAUUACAAACUGUUUAGCUUGAGUGCUGGAGAGGAUAGUGGAAUUCCUAGUGUAGCGGUAAAAUGCGUAGAUAUUAGGAGGAACACCGGUGGCGAAGGCGACUUUCUGGACUUGAACUGACGCUGAGGCACGAAAGCGUGGGGAGCAAACAGG